UCUCUGCUUUUGGCACAAGUUUCAUGCAGAAAAUAUCUUGUUUUCACAAGGAACACACUGCCAUUCAAAUAUGCACACUGACUCAUCACAAGGGCACAACAGCUGUCACACAGUUUUCCAAUUAGCAAUCAGAGCUUUAGCAUAAAAGGGCAACAGGUGAGCUCUUCAAUAGAGCAAUGGAUGCUAACAUUGGAAACAGAGGCAGAAGAGGACGUGUAAGAGGACGUGUAAGAGGACGUGUAAGAGGACGUGUAAGAGGACGUGUAAGAGGACGUGUAAGAGGACGUGUAAGAGGACGUGUAAGAGGACGUUAAUCUCUGAUGAGAUCUGAGCCACUUUGGUUGAUCAUGUGGUCAACCAUGGUCUAACAAUGAGGGAGGCUGGGCAAAGAGUACAGCCAAAUCUGAGCAGGUACACUGUAGCAUCCAUCAUCUGGACUUUCCGAAAUGAGAAUAGGUAAGAAAUCUACUCUCACUAGCAAAUUGCAGUACUGCAUAUCAAUACAGUACUCAAUGAGUACAGUAGUACAAUAUUGCCUGUGGACUGCUCUGUAGGACUGUAAAAAUACUGUAUUAUUAAGUAUGUUUCAAGUAUUUAGGAAAUGUAUACCUACUUUGUAUUUACAGUAUUUUACUAUUUGUUUGGCAGAACUGAAAGAAUACCAACACAAGGUGGUUGGGAACAUCUUCAGUCUCCUGAACAGGAAACUGAAAUCAAACAUGGUCCUAGAAAACAACGCCACAACAUUACAGCAAAUACAAAGAAAAAUAAUCAAACAAUGAGAGAUUUCAAAAUAUUGAUAGGGUAAGCUUAUCAACACUGGACCAUGUCAUGUGCAGAAAUCAUCUCAGGAUGAAGCAGGUCUACAGGGUGCCAUUUGAACGCACUUCAGAGAGUCAAAGAAUUGCGAUAUAACUAUGUGCAAAGUGUCCUUGAGCUAGAGGUGGCUGCAGUGGAGCACCAGUUCAUCUUCUUUGAUGAGGUUGGGUUCAACCUCACAAAGACAUAAGAGGGGAAGGAAUGUCAUCGGCCAGCGUGCCAUUGAAGUCCCUGGCCAGCGCGGAGGGAACAUCACAAUGUGUGCAGCGACUACCCACCACGGCGUCAGCAAUCACCAUGCUACCCUUGGCCCCUUCAACACCGCCCAUCUGAUCUCAUUCCACCAGAUCAGGUAGACGGCCCAGAGCAGCUCAGGUACGUUGUCAUUUGGGACAACGUAGGUUUACACAGGGCUGCUCUGGUUCACUGCCCACCCAUGCUUUUUAGGUGUUUAUCUCCCUCCAUAUUCUCCAUUCCUCAAUCCUCUUGAGGAAUUUUUUUUUUUUCUGCCUGGAGAUGGAAAGUUCAUGACUGAAAUCCACAAACUCAUAUACCUCUUCUCCAAGCUAUGGAGGAUGCAUGUGGAGAUAUAGCAGCUGAUGCUCUUCAUGGCUGGAAUCGCCAUGCUAGGCGAUAUUUAUUUAUUUUUUUUCCCCCCCGCUGCUUGGCAAGGGAAAACACUGCUUGUGAUGUGGAUGAGGUGCUGUGGCCAGACUGCAACCGAAGCGAAGUUGCGGCAUAGUUUGUGUGGGUGGGGUUUUUUUUUUUUUUUUAAACUGUGUACAGUAAAUUCUUUUGUGCAACUUUAUGUUGGUUGGGAAUGGGAUGUACACCGUAUACAUUGUUUUUGUGGGACAAAUAAAAUAUAUUUUACUGUG